UCGGCAUCGAGCGGAGCACGUUAGUAGCGCUUCGCGAGAGGGAACCCGGUGAGAGUCCGGGACUGUCCCGCAGCGGUAUGCAGGAACGACCGCCGUCAGACGCACUGGUCACCCGACCGGGAAGCGACGGCCACUAGGAGCACCUCCGGUGCGUGCCUGCGAGUCCGAAGACCUGCCCGCUGUGCCGGACGCGC
rfam:Mycobacterium sp. E2978 contig_1, whole genome shotgun sequence.